UCCGUAGGGGGCGAUCGUUGUCCGGAUUUACUGGGUGUAAAGGGUGCUCAGGCGGGUCUGUAAGUCAGGGGUGAAAUCCCAGAGCUUAACUCUGGAACUGCCUUUGAUACUGCAGAUCUCGAGUUUGGGAGAGGCGAGUGGAAUAUCUGGUGUGGCAGUGAAAUGCGUAGAUAUCAGAUAGAACACCAAUGGCGAAGGCAGCUCGCUGGCCCAAUACUGACGCUAAAGCACGAAAGCGUGGGGAGCAAACAGG
rnacentral:rRNA from 1 species